rnacentral:rRNA from 1 species
UCAGUCGACUCCUACGGGGAGCAGCAGUGGGGAAUAUUGCGCAAUGGGGGGCAACCCUGACGCAGCCAUGCCGCGUGAAUGAAGAAGGCCUUCGGGUUGUAAAGUUCUUUCGGUGAUGAGGAAGGGAGUUAUGUUAAAUAGCAUAAUUCAUUGACGUUAGUCACAGAAGAAGCACCGGCUAACUCCGUGCCAGCAGCCGCGGUAAUACGGAGGGUGCGAGCGUUAAUCGGAAUAACUGGGCGUAAAGGGGCACGCAGGCGGUGACUUAAGUGAGGUGUGAAAUCCCCGGGCUUAACCUGGGAAUUGCAUUUCAGACUGGGUCGCUAGAGUACUUUAGGGAGGGGUAGGAAUUCCACGUGUAGCGGUGAAAUGCGUAGAGAUGUGGAGGAAUACCGAAGGCGAAGGCAGCCCCUUGGGAAUGUACUGACGCUCAUGUGCGAAAGCGUGGGGAGCAAACAGGAUUAGAUACCCUGGUAG